AGCGAACGCUGGCGGCAGGCUUAACACAUGCAAGUCGAACGAACCUUCCGGGGUUAGUGGCGGACGGGUGAGUACGACGUGGGAACGUGCACUUAGGUUCGGAACAAUUCAGGGAAACAUGUGCUAAUACCGAAUGUGCCCUUCGGGGGUAAGAUCUAUCGCUUCUAGAGCGGCCUGCGACUGUUUCGCUAGUUGGUUGAGGGAAUGGCUCACCAAGGCGAGGUUCAGUAGCUGGUCUGAGAGGAUGAUCAGACACAUUGGGGCUGAGACACGGCCCAAACUCCGACGGAAGGCAGCGGUAGGGUAUCUUGCGGAAGGGAGGAUGGCCUGGCGCAGCCGUGCCGGGGAAAUGAUGAAUGGCUUAGGAUUGUAAUUUUCUUUCAGCGGAAGCGAUAAUGACGGUACCCGGAGAAGAAGCCCCGGCUAACUUCGUG
rnacentral:rRNA from 1 species